UACGAAGGGGGCUAGCGUUGCUCGGAAUUACUGGGCGUAAAGGGAGCGUAGGCGGACAUUUAAGUCAGGGGUGAAAUCCCGAGGCUCAACCUCGGAACUGCCUUUGAUACUGGAUGUCUUGAGUGUGAGAGAGGUGAGUGGAACUCCGAGUGUAGAGGUGAAAUUCGUAGAUAUUCGGAAGAACACCAGUGGCGAAGGCGACUCACUGGCUCAUUACUGACGCUGAGGUGCGAAAGCGUGGGGAGCAAACAGG
rnacentral:rRNA from 1 species